UACAGAGGGGGCAAGCGUUGUUCGGAAUUACUGGGCGUAAAGGGCGCGUAGGCGGCCUGUUAAGUCGAACGUGAAAUCCCCGGGCUCAACCCGGGAACUGCGUCCGAUACUGGCAGGCUUGAGUCCGGGAGAGGGAUGCGGAAUUCCAGGUGUAGCGGUGAAAUGCGUAGAUAUCUGGAGGAACACCGGUGGCGAAGGCGGCAUCCUGGACCGGUAUUGACGCUGAGGCGCGAAAGCCAGGGGAGCAAACGGG
rnacentral:rRNA from 1 species